rnacentral:rRNA from 1 species
CAAUAGCGUAUAUUUAAGUUGUUGCAGUUAAAAAGCUCGUAGUUGGAUUUCGGAUGGGACUUGCCGGUCCGUCGUUUCGAUGUGCACUGGCCAGUCCUAUCUUGUUGUCGGGGACUAGCUCCUGGGCUUCACUGUCCGGGACUAGGAGCUGACGAGGUUACUUUGAGUAAAUUAGAGUGUUCAAAGCAGGCCUAAGCUCUGAAUACAUUAGCAUGGAAUAACGCGAUAGGACUCUGGUCUUAUUGUGUUGGUCUUCGAGACCGGAGUAAUGAUUAAGAGGGACAGUUGGGGGCAUUCGUAUUUCAUUGUCAGAGGUGAAAUUCUUGGAUUUAUGAAAGACGAACUUCUGCGAAAGCAUUUGCCAAGGAUGUUUUCAUUAA